AGUUUUUAUUUUUAGAUGUUUAUUUGUAUUUGACAUCAUAUAAAAUACAUAGUUAUACCUUCAAUAUGCAAACAAUGAUAUGAGGCUUUCAACGGGAAUUUUCACAGGCCGAAAAAAUAGUAAACAUACUACUUAAGUAUAUAUACAAACAAUUGAUGACCAUACAUUUAAAUGUUAUAUGUGUAUUUCCUUUUUAUUCAUAUAUUGUUAACAUAAUGUCAAAUAUACACGUUUCAUAUUGAUUAAAAAAUAAUAACAUCUUACUUUGAUUUUGAUACAACAGUUAUCAUUAAUACGCAAUUUGUAACAAUUUGUUUGGCAAGUGCAUGAUGCAGAUGAAGUUUGUGUUUUCUACUAAAUAAAUUGUGUUUUCCAAAAGAAAUAAUACCUUUCCAACUAGCCCUGUAACAAAAAGUAUCUUAAUCCAUGUUCUAACAUGGACGUAUCUUUAAGAUAGAUAAGUAUUUGGAUUUGUUGAGAUAUACCUUAGACUGGACAAAAUUAAGUUCAUGCAUCGAUAUACACAAAAGAAAAAUCUUUGAGAUAAAUAUUUUAAAGAGGUAGAAUACAUCAAAUUAAAAAACCUCGAUAAUACUGGUAAUAAAAUAAAGGGUACCAAUUUUCUGCACCAAGUAGAUCAGGUGUAUUCUUGGAAGGUAAAAUAGCAUAAAACAAUCAGUCUAGAUCUUUAAUGAAAUGUGCAAAUUUAGAGAGAAUUAUAAUGCAUUUUUAAUAAUUCGUCUAUCUAACAAAAAUUGUGUGUUCUACUUUAUUUUCAUAACUUUUAAGAUUUUACGAAUACAGAUUGUUUUUACUUGAUUUAAAACAUAGAUUCGGAUUCAGAAAAUGUAACUUUUCUAAAAGAAUGUGUUAUAAAUUUAUUAUUUUGUUUCAAAACAAGAAAAUAAAGCCGGUAAACUAAUUUUUUUAUUAUUUUCUGAAAGCACAUUACACAUACUAUCUUCUCGUAUUUUAUAUUAAAAUUUUAUAGCUUUUGGUUUGUUUCUAUCACACAAAAGCCCCUUGAAUCAUACCUUUUCUGUUCAAAACAUGAUAUAAACUAAAUUUUUUCAAACAAUAAAAAGAUUCUAUCGAAUUUAAUUUUGUACCCCAAUCUACCGUAAAAAACCCUGACCAAAUUAAUAGUACACCAAUUUGAAAGGCAUUUGAACUUGAUAGACGAUAGACAUAUCCCCUCUGGGGACUUUGAAUGAUAUUAGAACUAUAUUCAACGAAUGCUCAUUUCUUUUCUGUUUUCACUUCUGUAAACAAUAAAAAAGAAGAUGUAGUAUGAUUUCUAACGAGACAUCUAUCACCAGAUUUAACUACUCAAUCUUUAAAAAACUUAAGCAAUAAGAUAAAUACAUAUUGAUGUAGGAAUUUUUAAUAUGAGACAGUAGUGGCAUCACUUUGCUUGAAAAUUGUCCUUUUUGUUCCCGAGAUUUUAUUUAGACUAGAAUAAUAUAAACAUGACUUGUCACUUAGUUUUCACUUUUGUUUAAUUACCCUUUAUCAAAAUUAUCUAGUAGUAACUAUUAAAACAUAUAAUUGAAGAGUUUCUAUUAUUGACGACUGCUAAUUAUAUGAUUCUGCUGACAAACAGUUUUUAGAAAUAUCAUCUUGCAGGUCAAUAAAAUUGAAAAUGGAAAUGGGGAAUGUGUCAAAGAGACAACAACCCGACCAUAGAAAAAAACAACAGCAGAAGGUCACCAAUAGGUCUUCAAUGUAGCGAGAAAUUCCCGCACCCGGAGGCGUCCUUCAGCUGGCCCCUAAACAAAUAUAUACUAGUUCAGUGAUAAUGAACGCCAUACUAAUUUCCAAACUGUACACAAGAAACUAAAAUUUAAAUAAUACAACACUAACAAAGACCAGAGGCUCCUGACUUGGGACAGGCGCAAAAAUGCGGCGGGGUUAAACAUGUUUGUGAGAUCUCAACCCUCCCCCUAUACCUCUAGCAAAUGUAGAAAAUUAAACGCAUAACAAUACGCAC
rnacentral:lncRNA from 1 species